rnacentral:tRNA from 1 species
GCAGUGAUGGUUCAGUGGUAGAACCCUCACCUUCCAGGGUGGAGACCUGGGUUCAAUUCCAGGCCAGUGCA